GUCCUUGACUCUUCAUCAACUGCUACAUUAAUAAUGAACAUAACCCUGGGAAAUUUGGGGAUUUCAUAUGGUGCGAAGAGAGGUCACUUUGAGGUAUUCAGCUGGUGGAUGGCUUCUCUUACAUGUCCCCUUGGCAGGGAUCACUAGAAGUCUGGCUCAGCUGGGGCUAUUCACCAUGGUGGCUACAUAAUGGCUUCUCCAGUAUGGUGAUUUCAGGUUAGUUGAAUUUUUACAUUAUAGCUCAAGACUAGCAAACAUAGUGUUUGAAGAAGCUUGAGUGGAAGCUUCAAGACUUAUGACCAAGAUUAGAAGUCCUGGAAUGUCACUUCUACCAUUUUCUACUGCUCAAGAAAGUCACUAAGACCAGCCCAAAUCCAAGGAGAGAGGAAUUAGAUUUCAACUCUCAACAGGAGAAGUACCAUACUAAAGACUAUAUGACCAUCUUUGGAGCACAAGAGUUGAUGAAAGAAAACACUCUCAAAGUCAAGUUUGCUGUAGCCUGUAUACCUGAAAACGGUGGGCUUGAGAGGCCGGGAAGAGAAAGAAAGAAGAGGGAUAGUAACAACCUAAACAGCAAAGACUUGGAACUUGAAAUUAAAAAGAUAUACACCUAUCUAUGUAUUUCUGAUAUGUUUGUCAUAAUUUCAACCAAAGUUCAUGAUCUAUAGAAUUUUGCAUAAAUAAAAAAUAUCAUUUGGUUAGUUUUGACUCUCAUUAAAAAUAAAUUUUGUCAACCAUCCUCUUAUUAAGAUGUUUUAGAACUAAACACACAACACAAUUAUAUCUCCACAAAAUGCCACUAGGUUUCCUAACAGAGCAUCAACCUACUUAGAUUGUGAGCUCAUCAUUUUUAUGCAUGUGUUUACAUAGAUGCUUUUUUUUCUACAGGCAGCAUGAUAUAGUGAAAAGAAUGUGAGGUUCUGAAAUUAGAAGAACUGGGCAUGACUCCUAGAAUGUACUAUCUGUUGUGUGACCUUGGGCAAGUCACUUAAUCUGUCUGAGGCUUGUUUUUCUUGCUUGUCAAAUGAAAAAUAAAUGACAGCAAUAUUUCAGAUUUGGUGUGCAGAUCAUGUAAAUAAUAUAUGCGAAAGUGCU
rnacentral:lncRNA from 1 species